ensembl:lncRNA PTCSC2 papillary thyroid carcinoma susceptibility candidate 2
ACAGCGUCAGGGCGGGGAGGGCGCUUGGAGAUCCCCCGGGUCGGCCCCCUCCGCACCCCGAUCGACUGAGGCCCGGAGAGUUCAGGAACCGGCUCGGGAGACCUCAGCGCCCGAACUCGGAGUUUUCGGACUUUUCAGGCCUCUGCCAAGGGCUUGGACUCGCAGAUGGUGGAAAGCUGCACUUGAAGUCCAACUCUGUCCUGGGGGAAUAAUUAUGUUCCCUGUCUUGGGAGCCUUUCUUCAGGGAGCUUGAUGGUUCCAACCCACCCAGGAGCCUGGGACAUCUGUGCCCCUGGGCAAUCCCCUGCAGUUUCCUGAUUCCAAGAUGAGGGGGUAGAAUCCGAAGAUCUCCAAGGCCUUGAUGAGUGCUACCAGUCUGCAAAUUCCCAAGCCAAGUUCUUCAAUGAAUCAAAUUUCCUCCAGUAGCCAUUUCUACCAAAGGAGCAACUGUUUUUCCUUCCCACUGACAUGGCUAUGUAUUCGAACUGGAUAUAGGACACUGGGACCUGAAGUCUUGGAGAGGAUGUAAUCACUAAGUCAUCCCAAGGAAGAGUGGGAUGCCUACAAGAGAGGGAUGCCUACAAGAGAGGGAUGCCUAAAUUGGUUACCCCUAAGCCCACCGACUUUUAAGGCAUGUCAGCUCCAAGGACCAUGGCCCCAGGAACUAGGCACAAGUGACAGGAGACACUUGCUAUGUCUAAACCCAGUGCACCCUCAGCCCGGCCUCGCCUUUUCAAGGACGGCUAGCACAGGCCAUCAUCCUGGCCCACGAUGAAGGAUCUCUCUCUGCCACCCAGGCUGGAGUGCAGUGGCACAAUCAUGGCUCACUGCAGCCUCAAACUCCUGCGCUCAAGUGAUCCUCCCACAUCAGCCUCCCAAGUAGCUGGGACUCCAGGUAUGAGAGAACAGAAAUAGAGAUUUGGGUGGCUUUAGCUGUUUAAAAUAAGGUGACCAAACCUCCUUUCUGCCUGUUCCUGCUAUUUCAAACACCACUGUUCUCCACACAAUGAAAAUGGCCUUGUUCCUUAAGCCAAAGAUAGCUGAACUUUUGUUUGACAUUUUACACGGUGUCUUAUACCUGCCUGAAAGAAGGGGUGCAGGUCUUCACAGAAUGAGGAAAGGCCAGAGAUUUGGACUCCAAAGACCACAGCUUGGAUUCUAAGCUGUCACUUACCAGCCAAAAGGGAAUCUUGGCCCAGUCACUGAAGCCCCCUGAGUCUCAACUACCUCAUCUGUAAAGGGUCUCAUCAGGCCCACAUUAGAUUAUCUACUCGACCAUCAGUUCAAGCUCUAAGGUAAAGAUGUAGAGCAACUGGAACUUUCAUACACUGCUGCAACCACUUUGGAGACUAUCAGCAUUUUCCACUAAAGCUGAACAUUAUGGUCUAGAAAUUGCACUCCUGAGCAGCUUCUGAGAGAUGGGGGACGUGGAGCAGUCCUGGGUCUCAUGGUCUGAAGGGAGAAGAAAUCCUGCCCAGGCAGACCACUGUGAAUGUCCAGGCUUGUUUCCACCUGAACAGACUCUCCCUUAGCUAAGAGAACCAGACAAACUCCAUCUUGGCUCUUUCACUGGCAGCCCCUUCCUCAAGGACUUAACUUGUGCAAGCUGACUCCCAGCACAUCCAAGAAUGCAAUUAACUGAUAAGAUACUGUGGCAAGCUAUAUCCACAGUCCCCAAGAAUUCAUCUGUUUGAUAACGCCCAAAGCCCUGCAUCUAUAACCUUGUAAUAGUCUUAAAGCCCCUGCAUCUGGAACUGUUUACUUUCCUGUAACCAUUUAUCCUUUUAACUUUUUGACUACUUAACUUCUGUAAAAUUGUUUUAACUAGACGACCCCCCCUUUCUAAACCAAGGUAUAAAAGUUAAUCAAGCCCCUUCCUCGGGGCCGAGAGAAUUUUGAGCGUUAGCCGUCUCUCGGUCGCCGGCUAAUAAAGGACUCUUAAUUCAU